UUCCUGAGUCCCAAGAAGGAAGCCUGGGAGAUGGGAUUGAUAGAAUUCAGUUUCAUCUGCUAGUCUUCUGCCAGUUCUCUGCAGACUGCAAGAAAGAUGAACUUGCUUGUCCCUCUCCUUUGGGUGGGAUCCCAAGCACCACGGCCCCUUGAAGACCUUCAGCUUUAGCAUCCACAUGCCCAAGGGCUCUUGCACGGCACUUAAGGGACUACAGACCAUGGAGGCUGGAGAGCGGGAGUCCUCCUGAGUCAGAGCAGGGAUAACAAGACUUUGCUGCGGUAACUGUCCCUCCCCUCAUCCUACCUGAUCUAAUACCCUUGGUCAUCUCUGAGGAUUUCCGUAAGAGAACCUGUGACAGUCCUUCCAAUGCUUCUUUCCUUCUUAAUCCAGGGAAAUGACUUUGCCCUUGGUCAUGGCCAUUUACCAUGAUUGCAGGUGACUUUCAGAGGGAGUGGAUGUUUGCACACAAGUUGGAACUCGAAGGAACUUCCGGUUCAAUCUCCAUCCUUUAGGUAAGGAAUUUUGAUUUGUGCCGGAAACCGGGACCUGUUGGCCAAAAGCAACCCCCCUCCUGAUACUGGGAACCUGAUACUGGGAACAAAACCACAUCACCCACGUAGGUAGCCUCCCAGCUCUUGGUGUGGCCAUGGGACUAAAGUUUUUUUCCAGUGCAGUGUGAGGGAGGAAGGAGCCCAUUCUAAACCCCCACACGUACUUCUCCGUGCUCUCCCUUCCAGCUGACCGGACCAUCACCCCCAGCAAGACCUUAGGAGCCAAGGGUUGGCGGGAGAAUCACUGUCAGCCUGGAUCCCUUCAUGACUAUGUGGAAGAGAGACGCCCUACUCACCCCUGUCCCCUACUGCAAGUGUGGUUUAUUGAAACACAGUUUUUGCACAAGUUAUAUGGGAUAAUGAGUCACCACUCACUGUAGAGCCUGGCAGGUGACAGAUGCUCGAGAAAUCUAGACCGAAUACACAUCUUCGUUCCUUGAGGGUUGUUGUGAUAUCUUAAUGAAAUAAUCAUUUUGGAGAGAGGUAUCAACAUGGAAAAGCUAAUUGCUGGAGGACUUCAGGUAUGGCUAAAGAAUAACCUGUGGAAUCAGACACACCUGGAUUUGAAUCUGGGGAAGGGCCCUCCCACCCCAGCAAGGUGACACCAGUGCUGAAACUGAACGGCAAGAAGGAGCCCGCCAGGUAAGGACCUUUGCGGGGAAGGGGACGAGAAAGCUCAAAGACCCUGAGCCUGGAUCGGACUAGUGAUCUGGGGGGGCAGAAGGAACACGCGGCAGGGCAGGGGGGCAGGAGGAAGCGCAGGCGAAAGCGAUGUUUGAAAGAGAGAGCAGAUAAAGCAGGG